AACGUAGGACGCAAGCGUUAUCCGGAAUUAUUGGGCGUAAAGAGCUCGUAGGCGGUUUGUCGCGUCUGCCGUGAAAGCCCGGGGCUCAACUCCGGAUCUGCGGUGGGUACGGGCAGACUAGAGUGAUGUAGGGGAGACUGGAAUUCCUGGUGUAGCGGUGAAAUGCGCAGAUAUCAGGAGGAACACCGAUGGCGAAGGCAGGUCUCUGGGCAUUAACUGACGCUGAGGAGCGAAAGCAUGGGGAGCGAACAGG
rnacentral:rRNA from 1 species